AUUGAACGCUGGCGGCAUGCCUUACACAUGCAAGUCGAACGGCAGCGCGGGAGCAAUCCUGGCGGCGAGUGGCGAACGGGUGAGUAAUACAUCUGAACGUGCCCAAUCGUUGGGGAUAACGCAUCGAAAGCUGUUCUAAUACCGCAUACGAUCUACGGCUGAAAGCCGGGGAUCGCAAGACCUUUCGCGUUUGGAUCGUCCGAUGGCCGAUUAGGUAGUUGGUGAGGUAAAGGCUCACCAAGCCUUCGAUCUGUAGCUGGUAUGAGAGGACGACCAGCCACACUGGGACUGAGACACGGCCCAGACUCCUACGGGAGGCAGCAGUGGGGAAUUUUGGACAAUGGGCGAAAGCCUGAUCCAGCAAUGCCGCGUGCAGGAUGAAGGCCUUCGGGUUGUAAACUGCUUUUGUAAGGAACGAAACGGUCUUUUCUAAUAAAGAAGGCUAAUGACGGUACCGUAAGAAUAAGCACCGGCUAACUACGUG
rnacentral:rRNA from 1 species